rnacentral:tRNA from 1 species
ACCAGGAUGGCCAAGUGGUUAAGGCAUUGGACCUAAAAUCCCAUGGAUAAGUGCCCUUGUAGGAUCAAACCCCACUCCUGGUA